AGAAAAUGGAGGAUAAAAGAGGGUCCAAUAACCACAACGGUGGAAGCUGAUCCUUCACCACAACCACGGCAACGGGAGAGGCUUAUCUCUCACCACGACAGACUUGAGGGGUUCUCUCUGCCAACUGAUCUCUCACCGCAACGUGGAGACGGAUCUCUACGUGGAGACUGAUCUCUCACCACGGCACGAGCUUCCUGCCUUCCGAUCCUCCUCUACGGACCGUUUGCUGACGGACUUCCCUGGGCCUGCUACCUGAGACCUGCUGCUUCCUCCCCGACCUGCACCCUCUCGUUGCCCAAGACCGGCCUCGCUGCUCCUGCCCUUCGGCCUCGGACCGUCGGAACGUCGUGCAACGGGACUGCUGCCGGAUCCUGGUGAGAAGUGGGAUUCAUCCUUACACAGGUGUAGCUAUGUAGCAAGGAACACAGGUAUCAAAUAAUAAGGGAGAGCCAUUGGGAAGAAAUGCAGAUAUGUUGACUGGACUCUUGCCUGACCCAACCUGAAUGAUGUUCCUUGGAGAAGCUUUGACCAAAAAUAUGCAUCCCAUUGUAAUCAUCUUACAUGGAGGAUGGAUGCUGUGGCAUGUUUAUUUGCUAAAUCAUUUAAAAAAUUUUUUUUUAGUCUACUGUGUAUUUUUCCAAGAGUAAUAAGCUGCCCUUUGUCAUUAACACCAUUUCAAUGGCAUGUACUACAUUUACAAGUGCAAAGCUCUUUCCCUUUGUACAAAAGAUGAUGCCACCCCUUACAUACAGGGAGCUGAUUGUCUACUGCCCAACGUGUUGUAGUUAUGUACAUUUAGAUAAGGCAUAACAUUACAGUAAUUUACAGUAAACAUGUUCUAAAGGAAUUUUG
ensembl:lncRNA